AGGGCGUAUGGUGGAUGCCUAGGCUCUCAGAGGCGAAGAAGGACGUGAUAAGCUGCGAAAAGCUCCGUUUAGGUGCAAAUAACCUUUGAUGCGGAGAUCUCCGAAUGGGAUAACCCAAUAUGUUGAAGACAUAUUAUACCGUAAGGUAGGCAAACGCAGGGAACUGAAACAUCUAAGUACCUGCAGGAGAAGAAAACAAACGUGAUUCCCCCAGUAGCGGCGAGCGACCGGGGAUAAGCCCAAACCGUUAUUGUUUCGGCAGUAGCGGGGUAGUAGGACUGCGACAUUGAUGAAAUAAAUGAAAUGGAACACCUUGGAAAAUGUGAUCACAGAGGGUGAUAAUCCCGUACAUGCAAGUUUAUGAAUCAUAGCAGACUCCUGAGUAAGUCGGGACACGUGUAAUCCUGACCGAAUCCGCCGGGACCAUCCGGCAAGGCUAAAUACUCCUGAGAGACCGAUAGUGAACCAGUACCGUGAGGGAAAGGUGAAAAGCACUUCGAACAGAAGAGUGAAAUAGUCCCUGAACCCAUACGCCUACAAGCAGUCGGAGCCGCUUCGUGCGGUGACGGCGUGCCUUUUGCAUAAUGAGCCUACGAGUUACUCAUCACCAGCGAGGUUAAGUACUUCAGGUACGUAAGCCGAAGCGAAAGCGAGUCUGAAUAGGGCGUCAAGUUGGUGGUGGUAGACGCGAAACCUUAGUGAUCUACCCAUGGGCAGGGUGAAGGUUUGGUAACACAAACUGGAGGCCCGAACCGGUAAACGUUGAAAAGUUUUCGGAUGACCUGUGGGUAGGGGUGAAAGGCCAAUCAAACUGGGAAAUAGCUCGUACUCUCCGAAAUGCAUUUAGGUGCAGCCUCUGUUGUUUUGUUCUAGAGGUAGAGCUACUGAUUGGAUGCGAGGGCUUCACCGCCUAUCAAAUCCGGCCAAACUCCGAAUGCUAGAACAUAAAGACAGGGAGUGAGCCAGCGGGUGCUAAGGUCCGUUGACGAAAGAGGGAGAACUCAGACCAUCAGCUAAGGUCCCCAAUUGUAUGCUAAGUUGGAAUUAAAACGGGGUGGGACUGCUUAGACAGCUAGGAUGUUGGCUUGGAAGCAGCCAUUCAUUUAAAGAGUGCGUAACAGCUCACUAGUCGAGCGGUCCUGCAUGGAUAAUACGCGGGCAUAAGCAUAUAACCGAAGCUAUGGGAUUGUAGAUGAUACAAUCGGUAGGAGAGCAUUCCAUUCAGCGUAGAAGCAGUAUCGUGAGGUAUUGUGGAGCGGAUGGAAAAGCAAAUGUAGGCAUAAGUAACGAUAAUGCGGGUGAGAACCCCGCACGCCGAAAGAUCAAGGAUUCCCCGGCAAUGUCAAUCAUCCGGGGGUAAGUCGGAUCCUAAGGGUAAGCCGAGUGGCGAUCCCGAUGGCAAACAGGUUAAUAUUCCUGUACUGAUCAUAACUGCGAUGCAGCGACGCAGAGGUGACACUGCUGCGUACUGACGGAAUAGUACGUUGAAACCCGUAUUCUUUGAUACCGGUAGUGAAGCACGCCGGUAGAGAUGAAAGGUGAUAGUACCGCAAUGCUUCGGUUGCGCGGAUAAUGCAGGUAAGCUGACUGCCAAGAAAACCUGCUAAGCUUCAGGUAAUGAUCAUCCGUACUGUAAACGGACACACGUGAUCAGGUAGAAAAUACUAAGGCGCUCGAGAGAUUCAUGGUUAAGGAACUAGGCAAAAUGGUCCUGUAACUUCGGGAUAAAGGACGCUCUUGUGAAAGAGCCGCAGAUAAUAGGCCCAGGCGACUGUUUACCAAAAACACAUGGCUAUGCUAAUUCGCAAGAAGAUGUAUAUGGCCUGACACCUGCCCGGUGCCGGAAGGUUAAGAGGAGAGCUCAGAGGCAACUCGAAGGUUUGAAUUGAAGCCCCGGUAAACGGCGGCCGUAACUAUAACGGUCCUAAGGUAGCGAAAUUCCUUGUCGGGUAAGUUCCGACCUGCACGAAUGGUGUAACGAUCUGGGUACUGUCUCAACCAUGAGCUCGGUGAAAUUGUAGUUCCGGUGAAGAUGCCGGAUACCCGCAACGGGACGGAAAGACCCCGUGAACCUUUACUGCAGCUUUGCAUUGAUUUUGGGUAACAGAUGUGUAGGAUAGGUCGGAGGCUUUGAUGCUGCGUCGUCAGGCGUAGAGUAGCCGUCGUUGAAAUACGACCCUUUUGUUAUCUGAGGUCUAAUCCCGUUAGGGAGACAUUGCAUGGUGGGUAGUUUGACGGAAGACGUCUCGUUGAUUCCUUAUCUGGGUCUGAGUAUGCGCGUCGGCUUCGCCGGCAAGGUGAAGUCCGUAUCGGCAAAGGCCGAUACGUUCGGCGACGGGGGAUUCGACCGUUUCGAUAUGGGCGUCCGCGCCGGCAUCGGGGUGGAGUACCGUCGUUAUUCGUUCCGUUUCGGUUACGAUGCGGGAUUCCUCAAUCUCUCCGAUGUGUCGGACGUCACGGUUCGCAACAAGACGUUCCAGCUGCAAUUGGGCUACCGCUUCUGAUCGUAGCCCGAUCGCAAUUCAUCGCUUCCCCUGCCGUUGCGGCGGGGGAAGGUCGUUUUAGGAAGGCUCGCUUUCCGGGCGGUCGGAUUUCCGCGCUCCGUUUCGCUGCGUCCGGAACGAGGGUUUCGGCCCGGGUCGUCGGAUUCCGGUACAGCCAUUCGGAGAAGGAA
rnacentral:rRNA from 1 species